ensembl:lncRNA
GUGAUUCCGGAGUGACCAAGUGGUUCAGGCGUGUCUGGCAGGAGGUUCCCCUCUGUCCAGGAGGUGGUUCCGGCAUGUCUGGCACAUGGUUCUGGCAUGUGUGAGAGGUGGUUCCGGCAUGCCUGGCAGGUGAUUCCGGGAUGUCCGCCAAGUGGUUCUGGCAUAGCCGGCAGGUGCUUUUGGCAUUUCCGGCAGGUGGUUCUGACGAUUCGAGCAGGUGGUUCCGGCGUCCUCAGCAGGAGGUUCCGGUCUGUAGGCGAGGUGGAUCCGGCGUGUCCGGCACAUGGUUCUGGCACGUCUGACAGCUGGUUCCGGCAUGCCCAGCAGAUGAUUCUGGACUGUCCUCCUCGUGGUUUUGGCAUGCCCGGCAGGUGAUUCUGGCAUCUCCAGCAGGUGGUUCCAGUGAGUCGAGCAGGUGCUUCCGCCGUGUUUGGCAGGCGGUUCAGGUGUGUCCCGCAGGUGGUUCCGCCCAUGCUCGGCUGGUGGUUCAGGCGUGUACGGCAGGUGGUUCCGGUCUGUCCGUGAUGUGGUUCCGUCGUGUCUGGCCCACGUUUUUCUGGAACGUAUGAGAGGUGGUUCCGUCACGUCUGAGAUGUGGUGCCGGAAUGCCCGGCAUGUGAUUCCGGAGUGUCCGCCAAGUUGUUCUGGCAUAGCCAGCAGGUGAUUUUGGCGUGUCCGGCAGGUGGUUCCGGUGAAUUGAGCAGGUGGUUCCAGGGUGCUCGGCAGGUGGUUCCGGCGUGUCAAGCACGUGGUUCUGGCAGGUCUGAGAGGUGGUUCCGGCAUGCCCAGCAUAUGAUUCCAGACUGUCCGCCAAGUGGUUCUUGUGUACCCAGCAGGUGAUAUUGGCGUGUCUGGCAGGUGGUUCUGGCGUGGUUGGCAGGUGGUUGUGGCUUGCUCGGCAAUUGGUUCCGGUCUGUAUGGGAGGUGGUUCCGGCGUGUCCGGCACAUGGUAGUGCCAUGUCUGAGAAGUGGUUCCGGCAUGCCCAGCUGGUGAUUCCGGAGUGUCCGCCAUGUGUUUCUGGUGUAACCGGGAGAGGAUUUUGGAAUGUCAUUCAGGUGAUUCCGGCGAGUCGAGCAAGUGGUUCUGGCGUGCUUGGAAGGUGGUUCAGGCAUGUCCGGAAGGUGGUUCCGGUCUGUCCGGGAGGUGGUUCUGGCGUGUCCGGCAUGUGGUUCUGGCAUGUCUCAAGGUGUUUCCGGAACGACGGGCAGGUCAUUCUGGACUGUCCGCCAUGUGCUUCUGGCGUAGCUGGCAGGUGAUUUUGGUGUGUCCGGCAGGUGGUUCUGGCGAGUGGAUCAGGUGGUUCCAGUGUGCUCGGCAGGUGGUUCAGGCGUGCGCGGCAGGUGAUUCCGGUCUGUCUGGAGGUGGUUCCAGCGUGUCCAGCACGUGGUUCUGGCACGUCUGUGAGGUGGUUCCUUCAUGUCCGGCAGGUGAUUCCAGAGUGUCCGAAAAGUGGUUCUGACACAGCCGGUAGGUAAACUUGGCAUGUCCAUCAGGUGGUUCCGGCGAGUCAAGAAGGUGGUUUCGGCAUUUUUGGCAGGUGGUUCUGGUCUCUCCGGGAUGUGGUUCCGGCGUGUCUGGCACGUGGUCCUGGGUCAUUUGAGACGUGGUUCUGGCAUGCCCGGCAGAUGAUUCCAGAGUGACCGCCAAGUGGUUCUCGCAUAGCCGGCAGGUGAGUUUGGCAUGUCAG